AGCGGAGCGCGCCCGGCCCCAUGGACAGCUCGGCCGUCAUUACUCAGAUCAGCAAGGAGGAGGCUCGGGGCCCGCUGCGGGGCAAAGGUGACCAGAAGUCAGCAGCUUCCCAGAAGCCCCGAAGCCGGGGCAUCCUCCACUCACUCUUCUGCUGUGUCUGCCGGGAUGAUGGGGAGGCCCUGCCUGCUCACAGCGGGGCGCCCCUGCUUGUGGAGGAGAAUGGCGCCAUCCCUAAGACCCCAGUCCAAUACCUGCUCCCUGAGGCCAAGGCCCAGGACUCAGACAAGAUCUGCGUGGUCAUCGACCUGGACGAGACCCUGGUGCACAGCUCCUUCAAGCCAGUGAACAACGCGGACUUCAUCAUCCCUGUGGAGAUUGAUGGGGUGGUCCACCAGGUCUACGUGUUGAAGCGGCCUCACGUGGAUGAGUUCCUGCAGCGAAUGGGCGAGCUCUUUGAAUGUGUGCUGUUCACUGCUAGCCUCGCCAAGUACGCAGACCCAGUAGCUGACCUGCUGGACAAAUGGGGGGCCUUCCGGGCCCGGCUGUUUCGAGAGUCCUGCGUCUUCCACCGGGGGAACUACGUGAAGGACCUGAGCCGGUUGGGUCGAGACCUGCGGCGGGUGCUCAUCCUGGACAACUCACCUGCCUCCUAUGUCUUCCAUCCAGACAAUGCUGUGAGUGCGGGCUGGACUGGGACUGGGACAGGAGCUGAGACCCAGGAAGGGGUCAGUCCAUUCAGGCCACCUUGGCCUCCUGGAUCCCCAGUUGGGGGGUGGGUGCCCUCCCAGUCCUUCCUGCAUUCAUUGCCUGUGCCUGCCGCCCACUCCCCUCAUCCACCUGCCCUGUAGCCAUAUGGUCUUUUCCCCUCGCACACAGCAGAGCAUCUGCCAUGCACAGGGGCCCCCACAGGGCAACGGAGUUUGGAAAGUUUCAACUUUUCGAAUUGCCAGUUGUGACCUACUGAUGGCCCACAGAAUUAAUUUAGUGGGUUCUGAUUG
rnacentral:sRNA from 1 species